AUAGAACAAUGGGUUAAAGGAACACUAUAGUCACCUAAAUUACUUUAGCUAAAUAAAGCAGUUUUAAUCUAUAGAUCAUUCCCCUGCAAUUUCACUGCUCAAUUCACUGUCAUUUAGGAGUUAAAUCACGUUGUUUCUGUUUAUGCAGCCCUAGCCACACCUCCCCUGGCUAUGACUGACAGAGCCUGCAUGAAAAACAAACUAUGUAAUUUACCUUAAAUAAUUGUAUCUCAAUCUCUAAAUUGAACUUUAAUCACAUACAGGAGGCUCUUGUAGGGUCUAGCAAGCUAUUAACAUAGCAGGGGAUAAGAAAAUCUUAAUUAAAC